AAUUUCUCUUCCUCUUCCACGAUAAAAAUAAACACCAAAUCCCUAACCCUCUCUUCAAGCGACGGCAAAUCCCAAGUUCUCAACCCUCUCCUGCGGCAGCCGACGAACACUGAUGACAACCAGCAGCAACCCACUACCUCUCCCCUUCUAUUUCAUCCGUAUUUCAUCCUACUCGUUCAGAAUCUCAGUCUCAAACUUCUUGAAAGAGAACGAGUUGUGACUGCUGUGCUGGGCGAACUGCCUAAAGGGCGAAGACCUUAAUGUUCAGCCUUUGAUUUUGAUGAAAGGUACGUAGUGGAAGGCUCCAUGGAAGGCUUCCACACGGUUUCGAUCUCGAAGAAAAAGGUACGUAGUAUUCUUUUCUCUUUGUCGAUUAUCUUUGAUUAAAUUGUUCUAUCUUGUUCCCUUCCAUUUGGGGGUUUUCAGUUUAUAUUACGCUAAUGUUUCGGUUGGAAUGUCGUCGUUGGAUUUCCUUAUGGUUAGACACUGGAAGCAAUUUGUUUUGAUUACCGUGUGAAUGUUCUAGUUGUUUUACCCAUUUAAACACAUCAAAUGAAGGAAAUGUAUUUAAACCGACGAUGCAAAUCUUGAAGUUGAUGUUCUCUCCAAUGAAAUCAACUGGUCGAUUCUUGUUUUGAUUAACUAGAAUGGACAUUGAUGUUGAAGAUGACAAUUACUUCAUGGUAGCCCUUUUUUUGCUCUCGUUUUACUUCUUGUUGAUGGGUUUCCAGAAUUGGUUAUGGCUAUUCAAAGAGUUGAAGUUUUCUAUAAACAAAAACAGUUCUAUUUCUACCCAGCUUGGGCCUAUGCUAUGCUAUUCCAGCUUAAUCAAGAUCCCUCUUUCCCUCGUCGAAUCUUUAGUUUGGACUUCUCUUACUCACUACGUUAUUGGCUUCACCCCUCAACCUAUCAGGUUCUAAUUUAUUAUUCUGUUUGGGGUGCAUUUAUCAGAAUUGUCCCUGUUUAGAAUGAUAGCUUAGCUUCAAUCUUCCAAAGCAAUGGUGCUUACUUUACAGUAGGCAAUUUUUUAUUACUUACACCACUUGCCAAUAGCAGAUAGAUGGUUUAUUGAAAAUGGACUUGAAGGAGAUGCCGAUUCUGACGGUGAAGAAGAUGAAAUGGAGGACACUGAUGGUGUAGAAGUGGAACAUCUACACAUUUCAGAUUACUAAGGUUUUGCACUAAUAUUCGAUUGAUUUACUAUAGUGAUGAAGCUACCAAGCAAGUGAUUGACGUUUGAUUCACGACAAGACUUGAUGUAAUUUAGUUAUCUACAAAAAUACAUUGUAUUUAGUUUCUACCAAUGUUUAGUUUCUAUUUUACUUGUAUUUAUCCCUUUGGGAAAAUUCAAUAGAUUUCGUGUACUUAGUUUUUUUGUAAAAAUGUUAUAUGUUAUUGUUAUAUAUGAAAGUUCUUAUUUAUAUGUGUA